UGGCUCUAUGCCACCCACUGUCGUUGUGGUGGUGAUUCGGUUUGGGCGACCUAAUUUUCAGGUUUUCUCACACAGCUUCAACAAACGGAUCUAGGGCGAGAUCCGCCUAGGUUUCGGUCCUUAUACCGGUUCACGUCCAAUAGUUGACAUUCUCGGCCCGGCGAUUCCGACGGUCUUUGCAAGUUUGGCCAAGGUUCCACCGUCCCGCCAUCCAAGAUAUUCCAAGGUUUUUCUUCUGAAGACUCUUAAUUAACAAGUGAGGCAUGUAUAUCGGAGACUUUCUGGGUGGUGGCCAGCUCCUUCGUCGACUUCCUGCUAGUUUUGCGAUUUCGGUUGGCUCGGACAAUAAGGAAUUUGUAUCUUUGUGUUGAAUCAUUUCAAUCAUGUUUAGAUCUUUUUAGUUUUAGUUUUUCUCUUUUGUUUGUCUCCCGUGUUUGGGGCUCAGUUUCUGGGGGUUAGAAUCCCGCCGGACUUUGUAUUCCGACAACGUAUUUCAUCUGUGAUAUAUAAUAUUUCAGACGAAAAAAAAAAAAAAAAAAAAACAAGCAAACUGUUAUAGAACUUGUUGUUCUUAUUAGUAUUAAUGAAUGG
rnacentral:lncRNA from 1 species